rnacentral:rRNA from 1 species
GACGAACGCUGGCGGCGUGCUUAACACAUGCAAGUCGAGCGAUGAGAUCCCUUCGGGGAUGGAUUAGCGGCGAACGGGUGAGGAACACGUGAAGAAUCUGCCUUCAACUCUGGGAUAACACCGGGAAACCGGUGCUAAUACCGGAUAUGAGCCUUGAUCGCAUGAUCGGGGCUGGAAAGUUUUUCGGUUGAAGAUGACUUCGCGGCCUAUCAGCUUGUUGGUGAGGUAAUGGCUCACCAAGGCGACGACGGGUAGCCGGCCUGAGAGGGCGACCGGCCACACUGGGACUGAGACACGGCCCAGACUCCUACGGGAGGCAGCAGUGGGGAAUAUUGGGCAAUGGACGAAAGUCUGACCCAGCGACGCCGCGUGCGGGAUGAAGGCCUUCGGGUUGUAAACCGCUUUCAGCAGGGAAGAAGCGAAAGUGACGGUACCUGCAGAAGAAGCACCGGCUAACUAUGUGCCAGCAGCCGCGGUAAUACAUAGGGUGCAAGCGUUGUCCGGAAUUAUUGGGCGUAAAGAGCUCGUAGGUGGUUAGUUACGUCGGAUGUGAAAAUCUAGGGCUCAACCCUAGACCUGCAUCCGAUACGGGCUAGCUUGAGUUUGGUAGGGGAGACUGGAAUUCCUGGUGUAGCGGUGGAAUGCGCAGAUAUCAGGAGGAACACCAAUGGCGAAGGCAGGUCUCUGGGCCAAUACUGACACUGAGGAGCGAAAGUGUGGGGAGCGAACAGGAUUAGAUACCCUGGUAGUCCACACAGUAAACGAUGGGCACUAGUUGUGGGAACCUUCCACGGUUUCUGCGACGCAGCUAACGCAUUAAGUGCCCCGCCUGGGGAGUACGAUCGCAAGAUUA